rnacentral:rRNA from 1 species
UUUUUGGUUAAUAAUUUAAAGUCUAAUCUGCCCACUGAUAAUAUAUUAAAGGGCUGCAGUAUUUUGACUGUACAAAGGUAGCAUAAUCAUUAGUCUCUUAAUUGGUGACUUGUAUGAAAGAUUUGAUGAGAUAUAUACUGUCUCUUUUUAAUUUAUAAAAUUUAAUUUUUUAGUUAAAAAGCUAAAAUAUAUUUAAAAGACGAGAAGACCCUAUAGAGUUUUAUAUUUAAAUAAAUUAAAAUUUUUUAUAAGCUUUAAGAUUUUAAUUUAUAUAAAUAUUUUGUUGGGGUGAUAGAAAAAUUAAAAUAACUUUUUUUAUAAUUUUACAUUAAUAAAUGAAUAAAUGAUCCGUAAUUUACGAUUAUAAGAUAAAAUUACCUUAGGGAUAACAGCGUAAUUUUUUUUUUUAGCUCAAAUAAGAAAAAAAGUUUGCGACCUCGAUGUUGGAUUAAGAUAAAAUUUAAAUGCAAAAGUUUAAAAUUUUU